rnacentral:rRNA from 1 species
CCCCCCCUCGAGGUCCAAGUCUUAAGAGGGCCUUAAGUCAGUAGGAGUAGACCCGAAACCGGGUGAUCUAUCCAUGUCCAGGUUGAAGCUGCCGUAAGAGGUAGUGGAGGACCGAACCCACAUCCGUUGAAAAGGGUGGGGAUGAGGUGUGGAUAGGGGAGAAAUUCCAAUCGAACCCGGAGAUAGCUGGUUCUCCUCGAAAUAGCUUUAGGGCUAGCCUCGAUACAGAUUUGCGGAGGUAGAGCACUGAAUUUCCUAGGGGGCGUCAAAGCCUACCGAAGAAUAUCAAACUCCGAAUGCCGCGUAAUCGAUUAUCGGGAGUCAGACUGCACGAGAUAAGUUGGGCGGUCAAAAGGGAAAGAGCCCAGACCUUCAGUUAAGGUCCCCAAGUGCGCGUUAAGUGGAAAAGGAUGUGGGAUUUCGAAGACAACCAGGAUGUUGGCUCAGAAGCAGCCAUCCAUUCAAAGAGUGCGUAAUAGCUCACUGGUCGAGAGGUCCUGCGCCGAAAAUGUCCGGGGCUGAAACGCGCCACCGAAACUAAGGAACCGAAAGGUUGGUAGAGGAGCAUUGCAUGCGGGAAGAAGCAGUACCGUAAGGAGCUGUGGACUGCAUGGAAGAGAGAAUGCCGGAAUGAGUAGCGAGAUAGAGGUGGGAAUCCUCUAGGCCGAAUAUCCAAGGUUUCCAGAGUAAAGCUGAUCUGCUCUGGGUAAGUCGGGGCCUAAGGCGAGGACGAGAGUCGUAGCCGAUGGACAACAGGUGGAGAUUCCUGUACUGCGGUAUGACAGAACUGUGGGGACACGUAAGGAAAGCGGAAGCCGGGAAUGGAAAGCCCGGUGCAAGCGGGGCACCAGUCACUUUGGCAAAUCCGGGUGGCAAUGGGAAGCCGUGAUGCGGAGCGAAAUAAAGUAGCGAAGUCCGUGAGCCAUGCGUCAAGAAAAGCCGCUAUCGUUUAUACCGUACCCGUACCGUAAACCGACACAGGUGGAUGAGGAGAGAAUCCUAAGGCCGGCGGAAGAAGCAUUGUCAAGGAACUCGGCAAAAUGGCCCCGUAACUUAGGGAUAAGGGGUGCCUGGGAAACCAGGCCGCAGAGAAUAGGCUCAAGCAACUGUUUAGCAAAAACACAGGUCUAUGCGAAACCGAAAGGUGAGGUAUAUGGGCUGACGCCUGCCCGGUGCUGGAAGGUUAAGAGGAGAGGUUAGCGCAAGCGAAGCUUUGAAUUUAAGCCCCAGUAAACGGCGGCCGUAACUAUAACGGUCCUAAGGUAGCGAAAUUCCUUGUCGGGUAAGUUCCGACCCGCACGAAAGGCGUAAUGAUUUGAGCGCUGUCUCGACAAUGCAUCCGGUGAAAUUGAAGUACCAGUGAAGAUGCUGGACGGUAUCGAUAAGCUUGAUCCCCCCCUCGAGGUCGACGGUAUCGAUAA